ACUUUUUUAUGUAUGAGAGGCACCGGCCAAGGGCAACAAAAUUGAUAAAAAGGCCCUCUGAAAGUGGGUGGAUCCCACUCAUACUGCUCUUUUAGAGCAGAAUGGAAUCGGAAGCUUUUCGUCUUAUCAUCUCCUUUCCUCUAACUGACUGUCUCUCAUUGCAUCAGUGUCGCAUCUUUUGCUAUCUUCUACCGCUAUUUUCAUGCUAACUGCUCUUCUCAUCUUGCUAACUGCAUGACUCCCCUCGCUGGACAAGACUUUUUCUUCUUUCUCUCACCCCUAUUCUUUCCACCUCUCUAAUGCAAGAGUUAACCAGUAUUCUCAGUCAUUCAUCCCUUUCUUUGGUAAACUUUGGAACUCCCUGCCUGCUUCUAUAUUUCCUCCUUCCUAUGACUUGAACUCUUUCAAGAGGAAGGUCUCAAGACACUGCUAUUUGAGGAUUCUAUUUUGGCAUUGCUCUGGGAACUGGUAUUUAAAUGGGCUUUUUUUAUUCAAAUUUUAUUACCCUUGGCCAGUGGCCCUCUUACAAAAAAAAAAAAAGAUUAUAGUAAUAAUUCAUUGGCUGCAUCUAAAAUUAAGAAUACUGCAAUACAAUAUUACAGUCAAAUGCAUUUAUGAAACAUUUCCAUAAUAUCAGGAAUUAGGGUGAGUGCAUGUAGUAGUAGUAGCAGCAGUAUUAGUAGUAGUAUCAGUAGUAGUAGUAGUAGUAGUAGUAGUAGUAGUAGUAGUAGUAGUAGUAGUAGUAGUAGAAAAAACGAGUAGUAGUAAUUAGCAGUAGAACAAACAGUUGAUAGUAAUGAUAGUAGAACAAAUGGUAGUAAUAGUAGUAAAACAAACUGGUAAUAGUAGUAGUAGAACACACAUGUGGUAGUGGUGGUAGUAGUAGUAGUAGUAGUAGUAGUAGUACAAAGAACAACAAUAACAGUAGAAGUAAAACAAUUAUGAAUCACAAUAAAAUAAACUUUUCAACAAAUAUCACAAUAAAAUAAGAAUCUUACAACAAAUAAUGAAAAUAAGAAUAAUUGAGAAAACCAUUACAAAUUUUGCUGAUUAUACAAAUAAGAUUAGAUACAUCUCUUAAUAAUGGUUUAUUAACAAGACUCUUAAUAUCUACGGAGAGUGAAUUCCACCCGUGAGGUCCGGAACACAACAAACUGUUUUGAAAGAGAAUGUUUCUGAAGUGUGGACACGCUGGGUUGACAUUAUUACCUCGAGCAUUUGGUGAAGUGCUUACUAAUCUGAAAGGUUGUGCUCCCUGAUACUGUGUGAUGCAUAAUGUAAGCUAUCAAUAUUCGUGUCAUCCAACAGUAAAUUUGUCAUCUGCAUAUAUAGUAUAUUUUGAUUUAGAGCUUACAUAAACAAGAGUAGACUGAAUUACUAUAUACUGUUUGAUAUAUGUUUGUGAGGGUGAAGAGAGGAUGACGGGAGGUUGACGGGGAAGUAAUGGAGGUGGUGAGGGGUGGAUGACGAUGACCAGUGGGUGACGGGGCUGUGAUUCCCUGCAAUCCUGUCUUCUUGCCUGGCCAGAUUCAUGUCCUUUAGACAGUAAUGGAUGAUAAGGUUUCUUUUCUACUACUUAUUUCAUUUUCUUCUCUAAAUAAAUAGCAGUCAGCUCCAACUGAAACAAAGUGCUUGAUUCUACUGGGACUACAUUUGCUUUGAACAUAAGUAGAUCUGAUUCAGAAUUGUAAUUAGUGACGUGCACAGGCAUCCCAUAAACCUUACAGGAAGUCUAUAAAUAAAUGUAAGACAAAUCUAGAACUUUUCUCCAACACGUACCUGAGAAAGAAAUGACAACUUUUGCCACUCAAAGGUCAAGGUUUCCCAAGAGCUGAUUAUUUCCAUUGGAGGUUCCUCAUCCCAGUCGACUUUCUUGCUCCAAACUUCACACUAAUCAUUUCAGUGGCGCGGUUAGAGAGCCAAUUAGCCCUAAAGGAUCAUAAACUUUACUUUUGUUGCAUAGCAAGCACCUCUUGCUGUUCCUCAUUGCAUUUUCUGAAUUGUAAGUGAGCGAGUCAAUGUGAGGAUUCUGCCGCAGUCCUAACACAUUUAAUGUUGUCGCUCUGGCCAGAGAGCGUCAGCCUUCAAGCGUGGUGAGUGUGUGGCCCAUUCUUAGAGUGGCAUUGUGGCAGAGUCCACCACUGUGUUGGCUGCAUCAUAAAUUUUGAGUGAGGGAUUCUCACCAUUAGCAGUACUCUGGAUAUUUCCAAAGUAUACAGAGUUCUUGAGCAAGUUUCUUUCUUUCUAUUUCUUUAUUUUCUCAAUUACUGGAUCUCUCUCAUCUCGUAUUUCCUUUUCCCUCGCUCCCUCCUUUAUCCCAAAGCUUCCUUUUCGCUUUGCUGAGGAUUAGAGAGGUGGACAGAAUAGGGAUGAGAGAAAGAAGAAAGCCUUGUGCAGCGAGGCCGCGGGAGAAGGGGAGGCAUGCAGAAGAGCAAUUAGCAUGAAAAUAGCGGUAGAAGACAGCUAGAGAUGCAACAUGGCGGCGGUGAGAGAGAGGCUGAAGACAGUCAGUUAGAGGA